UACAGAGGGUGCGAGCGUUAAUCGGAAUUACUGGGCGUAAAGCGCGCGUAGACGGUUUUGUAAGUCGGGUGUGAAAGCCCUGGGCUCAACCCAGGAAGUGCGCCCGAAACUGCCUUGCUUGAGUACCGGAGAGGGUAGCGGAAUUCCCCAAGUAGAGGUGAAAUUCGUAGAUAUGGGGAGGAACACCGGUGGCGAAGGCGGCUACCUGGACGGAUACUGACGCUGAGACGCGAAAGCGUGGGUAGCAAACAGG
rnacentral:rRNA from 1 species